AAAGGGGGAAGUCCUAAUUUUCAGGCCGAGGAUACAAACUGAGGUUGAGGGUUGUUAUGGGAAAAAUUUGGCUGCAGGACCUGUCUGGGAGGCGCAGCAUCAACCUGGUUGAAAACCGACAGCAACGGCACCUGGAAGGAAUUUUUGGAAGCCUGCUUGUUCUCUGCAGAGUAGAAGCGCUCCUGUGCCAGGAGACUGCCUUUUAUUACAGGGAUGAGCAUUUCUUAUUCUUCUGGAGGAACCAAAAGGUGUAGGAAGUCCAGGGACAUAAUCACUUGUGGGUACUAAAACCAGGGCCCUGACAGGAUGAAGAACAGCCAGGACCUGUGAGAAGGUGGGUGACACUCCAUAGGCCGGGAUCUGGGAAAGGGAAAAGCAGUUUUGGCUUCUCCAUAAUGAGGCACAUAAAAAUACUAACAAACCCCCUGCUAUCACAACCCUUUUUUUCUUUCUUGUCUAUUUUUGGGGUUGCUCUGUCAAAAAAAACAAGAGGCCAUGGCACACAUGAGCUCCCUAAUUUUCCAGAAUAAUACCUGCAACCAACUGGGUGUCUUGUUGUAUUUCCAAGGUGAUGUUUCCUCCCAUCUCCCCAUUCCAGGUACAUAUGUGUGCACAUGUGCAGACAGUGAUACAACUUCGCACUUGCACACGGACAAUUUUCACAAGAUACAAUUUUGCCACAGAAUGUAAAUAAACUUUCUUUUGAAGGUGUGUCCUGCUGAGCUGGGGGGAAGGAGCUCAGCCCUUCCCCAAAGCAGCGCCUGAUUGAAGGUGGGGACAGGCAGAGCUCUGGAGUGCCCUCCUCCUCAGGAGCCGGGGAUCUCAUCAGGACAAGGAGAGGCCCCGAAAAGCUUUGGAGGGUCUGUAUGUAUUUGCUGGAGUGGCUCAACACAGUUUUGAGUGUCAAGAGAUGUGACAGCGGCUCCUGUGUUAACUCAGCCCCCCAGUGGUCGAGCCCCAAUCCAGCUGAACAGCAGCACUAAGCCCAUGCCCUCCACUGCAGCACGUUUCUGCUGGAAGAGCUAAUUAAUUAAUUUCUGCAAAGCCCCUUGAAGGGGUAAAGGGCUAAGUAAGUGCAUAGCAGCGUUAUUCAGAGGGUAUGAGCUUCAGGGCUUAACGGGAGCUACUUAAAUAUGAACUGAGUGAGUAACCUUGGUUUGCAAAUUCUUUAUAAUGUAAAAGAACGGGGAAAGCAUCUAAAAAAACCAAACACCACCAGUCAUUUUCAGCAGUGUUCACAGCCUUGUAUCUUUCUGCAUGAUUUGGGAUUUGUAGUGUAUUUGCUUCCAGUUCUAUCAAAUUAAUGGAUGUAUUUAUUUGACUGGGGGUUUUUUUGUUUGGGUUUUUUUGGUUUCUUUUUAGCUCAGGAAAUAUUUUCUACUACAGUGCUGUUUUUCAGGGUGACUUCUGUUAAUUCCUUUCAUGUUUACCAUGCUGAUGGAAACCUGGUUUUGACAUUAGUAGGAGAUUCUCCCUAGAAUGGAUGCUGCGCUUUGUAGAUAACUUUCAAUUGUUCCACACUAAUAAAAACUUUAUUAAAAGGACUUGCU